GGGCGGGACAAGUGGCGCUGGUACUGUGACGGUUCAGGGAAAAAUUUACUCGCUGUCGUGCUAAGAACGUAGCGCAGGCAUCGUAUUGUGGAGAACAUUUAAAGUGAAAUAUCUGAAGGUCGACUAACCGUGGUCCCGAUAUUUACUUUUGGUGUGAUCUGCAUGAAGGCUACCAACGUUGUGGACGUUGUGAACGGAGAGGACGGACGGUCGGAGUGUCGACAAGACCCUGCUGUUUCUUCUUUCUUCCUUUCGCGGUUUUCCCCCCUGUGAUUCCUGCGGACGAGUGAUGAACUGCACAUCAUUUACCAGCUGCCCUUUGUGAUUGCUUUUGCACCAGUCCCCUCUGCUAACCACACAAACUGCUCAUUCGGAUUUUGUUUCCCAGAGACUAUGGGUUGAGGAGGAAUUGGAAGUUUGUCGGCUUAGACCUGGUGUCAUUCCAUCAGUGUUAAACUUCCCGGCUCAUCUUGGAAGAGUACGUGCCAGAAAGACCACGACCAAGCAGCCUUGAGAUCUUAGGCAGCGUCUCCCUGAGGUCCCUCUCUAUCUCCCCACACAUCCACCAACCACUGGAACACAUCUCCAAAGUUCUGCCGGGCCAGCUCAGCUUCCCCUCAGAAGAAGUUCCACCACCUGCCAGAUGAAGGAGCCUUUUGAGAGGCAGCCGGCAUCGUGAUUGGACUGUACUUUGGUCUGUUCCAAUCCAGCUUCAGCUCCAGAGACGGCAGGCGGGACGAGUCAACGGAGGCCGGGUGGACGAAGGCAUGCAGCUGAGUACAAUCCAGAAAACAACAGAGGAGUGCAUCGGCCCAGGGCAGAACAAACAGAGUAGCAUCAUAUGUCUCUUAGAAAACAUCAUAGUAUAGC
ensembl:lncRNA